rnacentral:rRNA from 1 species
UACGUAGGGGGCAAGCGUUGUCCGGAAUCAUUGGGCGUAAAGAGCGUGUAGGCGGUCAGGUAGGUCUGCUGUGAAAACUCGAGGCUCAACCUCGAGACGUCGGCGGAAACCAUCUGGCUAGAGUCCGGAAGAGGAGAGUGGAAUUCCUGGUGUAGCGGUGAAAUGCGCAGAUAUCAGGAAGAACACCCGUGGCGAAGGCGGCUCUCUGGGACGGUACUGACGCUGAGACGCGAAAGCGUGGGGAGCGAACAGG